GAUGAAGAACGCAGUGAAAUGCGAUACUUGGUGUGAAUUGCAGAAUCCCGUGAACCAUCGAGUCUUUGAACGCAAGUUGCGCCCGAAGCCAUUAGGCCGAGGGCACGCCUGCCUGGGCGUCACACGUCGUUGCCCCCCCAUCUACUCCUUCGGGAUUGCGGGGGGCGGAUGAUGGCCUCCCGUGCGCCUCGUCGCGCGGUUGGCAUAAAUGCCAAGUCCUCGGCGACGCACGCCACGACAAUCGGUGGUUGCGAAACCUCGGUUGCCCGUCGUGUGCGGUCGUCGCGCAUCGAGGGCUCGAAAAAAUUGCCGGGCUCCAGCUCGGCUUUCAACGCGACCCCAGGUCAGGCGGGGUUACCCGCUGAAUUUAAGCAUAUCAAUAAGCGGAGGA
rnacentral:misc_RNA from 1 species